UACAGCCAUAUCACGGUAAAACGCCGGUCCGCAUACGAUCACGGAAGUUAAGCAACGUUGAGCCCAGUCAGUACCUAGAUAGGUGACCUCUUGUGAAUACCAAGG